GGGAAUGUGGCUUAGUGGUAGAGUGCUUGCCUAGCAUGCAGGAAGCCCUGUGUUCAAUUCCUCAGUACCA
rnacentral:tRNA from 1 species